UGUGAGCUGUGGCUCCUAUGUGCGGUCACACAUGGGAGCUUGUUUAGCAGCAGAAGCCGGCCAUUGUUACUGACAAGGCAAUGACUGGUGUUGGCUACAAGAACAAUUAUCUAAGCCCCUCCCUGCAUCUUAUGGAAUAUAUAGUUGUUUCUAUUCAGCUUUCCUUUUCAACUGUUUCCUGGAUGACUACAACUAAUGCACAACAAGUAAUGCACUGUUUAGAUAGAGUAAUUAAUACUAUAUAUUUUUAUCACGUUAUGAUUUAUAUAUUUGGCAAUGGUACAGGAUCUAGUUAUUAUCCUCAGAGUGAAGAACAGAGAUGUAGUGUUCAACACCAUAGCUCCGAGACACUGUAAUCACAAUAAAAUCCCGGUCUGUAACUUAUUUGGGGCUCCGACACAAACGCACAGUGUUGGCAAAUUCUUCAACAUAGUAUGUUGAUCUAUCUUGGAUAACACAUAACAGCUGCCGCGCAAAGUAAAAAUGUAAGAAAAAAACAUAAAGAUCUGUCAGUCCGUAAAAAGUGAACAGAACUUAUUUUAGUCAAGGUCCCUUGCUUCAAGUACAACUGUGGGAUUCCUUUCUAACCAUGUAAGAUAUAGGCGAAUGCGUCACAUCAACAUAUGCUCCAGUGAUUAUUGACAGAAAAGUAAAGUUCAGGGCAGAUCUUACCUUUAGUACAGUCCCAUUUGUGAAGCAUCCAAGAAUCAAUGUUCGUCAAUAUUUCUCAGGUUUCUCAGCUAUCAGCAAGGAAAUAAGUCUUGAAUGGUCUCUCUCCAGAUCAGCACUAACCGACAUGCCCACUUGCUACUUUGAAGUCUAACUCCUCAUGUGAACCCCUAAAAAACAGGUGUCCGACAGCAACACGUAACAGAACUGCAAUAAUGCUGAACAAACUUUGGUGGAUACACCAUGACGGCUGGCCAAGUGAAAGGACAAUUAGAGGAGUUUAAUAACUUACCAUAUCCAUUAUAUCAUGUCCAUUUCUAGAAUAGUCUACAUUAUGUUUUAACUUCAGAUUCUAAUAGGUGCAUACCAUCACGCCCUGAACAGCAUUGCACAGAGGUAAUGUAACAU
rnacentral:lncRNA from 1 species